rnacentral:rRNA from 1 species
GACGAACGCUGGCGGCGUGCUUAACACAUGCAAGUCGUACGGUAAGGCCCUUUCGUUGGUACACGAGUGGCGAACGGGUGAGUAACACGUGAGUAACCUGCCCACAACUUUGGGAUAACGCUAGGAAACUGGUGCUAAUACUGGAUAUGUGCCCCUUCUGCAUGGGGGGGGUUGGAAAGCUCCGGCGGUUGUGGAUGGACUCGCGGCCUAUCGGCUUGUUGGUGUGGUAGUGGCCUACCAAGGCGGCUACGGGUAGCCGGCCUGAGAGGGUGACCGGCCACAUUGGGACUGAGAUACGGCCCAGACUCCGAAGGGAGGGAGCAGUGGGGAAUAUUGCACAAUGGGCGCAAGCCUGAUGCAGCAGCGCCGCGUGCGGGAUGACGGCCUUCGGGUUGUAAACCGAUUUCAGAAGGGACGAAGCUUUUUGUGACGGUACCUGCAGAAGAAGCACCGGCUAACUACGUG